rnacentral:rRNA from 1 species
UGGGGAAUAUUGGACAAUGGGCGAAAGCCUGAUCCAGCCAUGCCGCGUGUGUGAAGAAGGUCUUCGGAUUGUAAAGCACUUUAAGUUGGGAGGAAGGGCAUUAACCUAAUACGUUAGUGUUUUGACGUUACCGACAGAAUAAGCACCGGCUAACUCUGUGCCAGCAGCCGCGGUAAUACAGAGGGUGCAAUCGUUAAUCGGAAUUACUGGGCGUAAAGCGCGCGUAGGUGGUUUGUUAAGUUGGAUGUGAAAUCCCCGGGCUCAACCUGGGAACUGCAUUCAAAACUGACUGACUAGAGUAUGGUAGAGGGUGGUGGAAUUUCCUGUGUAGCGGUGAAAUGCGUAGAUAUAGGAAGGAACACCAGUGGCGAAGGCGACCACCUGGACUAAUACUGACACUGAGGUGCGAAAGCGUGGGGAGCAAACA